GGGGCGGAGGUGACUUUCUGCAGAGCUAAAUGAAGCUGUGGAAGUCGCCUCUCCUUGGCCUUGGGAUGCGGCCCAAAUUUUUGAUGUUGGGAGGGGAAAUGGAAAUUAAAUUCCCGGCAGACUGGGUUGCGAUCUCACAUCUUGAUCCUACUGCGGGUGCGUAAAGAAAACGGAGACGCAGAUGUGAUUCGGUAGGAAUACAGACCUGCUUUUCUGGUUUAACUACGCUAAGUCAAAAAAAGCGAGAUAUGGAAUUAACUGCAUUGAAAAAUGAAUUGUUGUAAGAUUGAUUGGGUGUUGAGCCACCGCCACAAAGACAAAGGAGGACGAGAUUUAGGAUGAACAAAUCUAGGAGCCAGAAGAUGUACCUGCUAGUAAACGCUAUGAUCUUUAAAAAGUCUUGAGCCAACGUGACCUUCG
rnacentral:lncRNA from 1 species